rnacentral:rRNA from 1 species
CUGGCUCAGGAUUAACGCUGGCGGCGUGCCUAACACAUGCAAGUCGAACGAAAUAUCUUCGGAUAUUUAGUGGCGAACGGGUGAGUAAUGUACAGGUAAUGUACCUUCGUACUGCGAAUAACAAGCUGAAAAGUUUGCUAAUACGGAAUAGUUUCAUUAGGGGGCAUCCUUUGAUGAAUAAAGAUUUAUCGUGCGGAGAUCAGCCUGUAUCCUAUUAGUUAGUUGGUGGGGUAAUGGCCUACCAAGACGACGAUGGGUAACUGGUCUGAGAGGAUGAGCAGUCACAUUGGAACUGAGAUACGGUCCAAACUCCUACGGGAGGCAGCAGUGAGGAAUUUUGCGCAAUGGGGGAAACCCUGACGCAGCAACGCCGCGUGAGUGAAGACGGCCUUCGGGUUGUAAAGCUCUGUCGUGUGUGACGAGUAGGGACGGUAACACACAAGGAAGCCUCGGCUAACUACGUGCCAGCCGCGGC